AUAGGGUGUGGAGAACAGGGCUUCCCGUCCGCUCAGCCGUACUUAAGCCACACGCCGGAAGGUUAGUAGUUGGGUGGGUGACCACCAGCGAAUCCCUUCUGUUGUAUGUU
rnacentral:rRNA from 1 species